rnacentral:rRNA from 1 species
CAGGUGGUCGGGUAGAGAAUACCAAGGCGCUUGAGAGAACUCGGGUGAAGGAACUAGGCAAAAUGGUACCGUAACUUCGGGAGAAGGUACGCUCUUGAUGGUGAAGUCCCUCGCGGAUGGAGCUGACGAGAGUCGCAGAUACCAGGUGGCUGCAACUGUUUAUUAAAAACACAGCACUGUGCAAAAUCGUAAGAUGACGUAUACGGUGUGACGCCUGCCCGGU